rnacentral:rRNA from 1 species
GACUUCUGGUUUAAUGCACCUGGCCCGCGGCCCACAAGGCCUGUGAGUGCCGGCGCGCGUUUACCAUCCUUCCAGCAACGGCUACCCUUAACUGGGCGGCUGGAACUGGAUCUUUUACUUUGAAAAAAUUAGAGUGUUUAAAGCAGGCGUUUGCUCUGAAUACAUUAGCAUGGAAUAAUAAUCUAGGACUUCGGUUCUAUUUUGUUGGUUUCUAUAACUGAAGUAAUGAUUGAUAGGGAUAGUUGGGGGUGCUAGUAUUGGCCGGUCAGAGGUGAAAUUCUUGGAUUCGGUCAAGACUAACUUAUGCGAAAGCAUU